rnacentral:piRNA from 1 species
UGUGAUUUGGGGCAAGGGUUAGGCCA